AUUGAACGCUGGCGGAAUGCUUUACACAUGCAAGUCGAACGGCAGCACGGGAGCUUGCUCCUGGUGGCGAGUGGCGAACGGGUGAGUAAUAUAUCGGAACGUAUCCAAUAAUGGGGGAUAACUAGUCGAAAGAUUAGCUAAUACCGCAUACGCCCUGAGGGGGAAAGCUGGGGAUCUUCGGACCUAGCGUUAAUGGAGCGGCCGAUAUCUGAUUAGCUAGUAGGUGAGGUAAAAGCUCACCUAGGCGACGAUCAGUAGCUGGUCUGAGAGGACGACCAGCCACACUGGAACUGAGACACGGUCCAGACUCCUACGGGAGGCAGCAGUGGGGAAUUUUGGACAAUGGGCGCAAGCCUGAUCCAGCCAUUCCGCGUGAGUGAAGAAGGCCUUCGGGUUGUAAAGCUCUUUCGCAAGGGAAGAAAACUUAACCUCUAACAUAGGUUGAGGCUGACGGUACCUUGAUAAGAAGCACCGGCUAACUACGUGCCAGCAGCCGCCGUAA
rnacentral:rRNA from 1 species